CUUACCUUGUUUUGCUGGAAAUCCGGACUUAUAUUUAUUGACAUCACAUAAUUACGCUUGAACUUUGAUAGUAUAUAAAUAUCGAAUGGUCACAAUACUUUAAACAUAUGCGUACUAAAGGUGAUUUUUUAAAGUCGAAAAGAAAAUAAUGGACAAAUGUAAAGGAACAAUCGCGUUUUUACUGCUAUGCAGUUCGUUAUUACAGCAAAGCGAAGCAGCUGUAUGUGGAACAAGAUGGUAUAAUCCAAGUUUCAAGACGUGCUGUAACGGAGUAUUGAAUACUUUUAGGCAACGUGGAUGUUGUGGGACCGUUGCGUAUAACCCAGAUUUCAAAACUUGUUGUAAUGGCGUAUUGAAUACUUUCAAGCAACGUGGAUGCUGUGGGACCAUUGCGUAUAACCCAGAUUUCAAAACUUGUUGUAAUGGAGUAUUGAAUACUUUCAGGCAACGUGCAUGUUGUGGAACUGUUGCCUAUAAUCCGUCUUUCAAAAGAUGUUGUAACGGUGUGUUUUGCUAGACAAUAAACAGUUGUCAACCAUCCUUUCUAUCUUCCAAAUGAGAAUAACGACCUACAAGAUACACAUGAUACAUUUAACAUUAACCUAACUGUUUGGAAUUCAGAACAAUAAACUCGUUGAAUGAUAUGUAAUACAUGAAAAAAUUUGUCCUUUGAAUAGCCUAAUAUUUUAUUUCUUUCAUGAAAUGUAAUUUCUUUCAAUAAGUCUUAUUAUUUUGACU